GUAUCAUCAGAGUAUCAACCUUCGUACGUUUUUUUUUGCCUUGUCCCCAUCAGGAUUUCUGAAGCUGUAGAAUUGAUAUGUUCUUUUCAUCAGUAGGUAAGCCCCAUACAUGUUUUAGCUAUAGGCUGGAGGUGAAGACGACCGUCAGUUAUGAGUUAUGACUCGAUUCCUUCAAGGAGCAGGAGGAUGGUGGCGAGGUGUAUCUCCUGAACAAGGCGGCCUGCCCCGAGAGGUUCAUCGGCGGUGGUGAUGGUCUCGUGGAUACGCUGUCCGGAGGUCUCCCGACGUUGCUGCCCUGCUCUGGGCGUUCCCGUUGUCGCCACUUGACAAUCCCCCUCUUCACUUGGCCGCCUGGAUACAUGGGCACCGGAUAGGGGAUUAGAAGAGGACGCCUUUUUUAUUGGAGCUCAUCAGCAGCGACUGCCUCUGUGAUGAUGAGGAACAACUUCAACGGGAAUUCACUCCGCCCUCGUCAGUGCCACCCACAUACAUGAAAACGAGUCCAAGUUCAGCAUACUAUUACAUGAUGAACUCAUCCGUCACCAGGCAUAGGUCGAAGAGCAAAAGAAGAGUCAUUUGAAGAAGACGUGCAUCUACAAUCGAAUGGUGCUUCACUUGCUCCUCCUGGGACAGAUUGUGAUUCAUGGCAGAUAGGAAAGUCUGGUAUAUUAGUUAUUUUUUGUAUGCAAUAUGAGGUAGACAUAAUUCAGGUAAAUCACUCUUGAGUUCAGGGUACCGACAAUUAUAUGUCCUUCACUUCCCUGGGAUGUAGUUUGAAGUGGCGACGGACUUGUGAUUCAUGGCAGAUAGUAAAGUCUGGUAUAUUAAAUAUCUGUUGUAUGCAAUAUGAGGUAGACUAAUGCAGGUAAAUCACUCUUUGAGUUUUUUCUCCUUGUAUGGCAUAAUACAAAAAUUGUUGAUUUAGGUCUCUGCAUUACCAUUUAUUCGCUUGCAAUAUUGAUGUAUUUCACUCUCAUCAAUAGAAGUAUGUCACCCCUUCUAAUUAGUCCGUAUUGUAUCUACAUGGUAAAUGGUAUUUUUCUUAGAGUAUAUAGUACAACAGUACCAUGUUCUCUAUGCUCUGCCAUAACUGUUUUUGUAUUCCUUUGAUAGAUAGUACAUAUAUUAUUAAAUAUUUUUUUGCAAUAUGUAUUUCCAUUCUAAGUUAUGGACUUCUUUGAAUUAAUGCUGCGGGUGAAAGAUGAUGGAUCAGAUUUUAGGUGGUUUCAGUAUACAGAAUAUUGCCUGAAUGAGUGCCUAUGCAAUAAAAUCCACAUUAUUAUGAGAAAUAGUUGGCACAGCAUAUGUUAAAUUCUUUCCAUGUAAUUUUUAAAUAAUCAUCUGCAUGGGAGUGAUAGUAUUUUUCAGUUCGUUGUGUUGAUUACAAAAAUAACAAUUACAGUUGUCUUAUUCUUUGAAUUGAGCAUCAGUUAUAGCCAUUGUGCUGAUGACAUUCGUAUUUUCGCUGUGUUGUUAUUACUAUCCCUUGUUAUUCUGUUGCUAUCCUGCAUUUCUAAUAUCCAUAUGCCAUAGUAUAUUGACAACUGGUGAUCUCUGGCGCUAAUGGUUUGUUGGUAAUAAGUGUACCUUGGUGAGACAAUUUUAUCAACUAAAAUAUCAUGUUGCUAUUAUGCUAUGCUAUGCUAUGACGAUUCGCCCUUAAGAAAUGUCGUUGCCAAAAUAUCUUUUGUGAUACUGAUUAAUGUUGCAUUUUGUUUUGUAGUUAUGAAAGGAUAUAAGGAAGUUUAGAGAUGCAAUCUCAGGGUGACGGUAACACUGAAGAAACAUUGCUUGUUGUUGCUGCAAUCUACAAGCAAAUCCGUCACCAUGAAGAACAAAUCUGAUGGAUGUGUAGUGGAAGAAGGUCACAUGGUCUGAUGAAGAGAGCAUGCUUUUUAGUGAGGUAGACCUGAAGGUUAGGAUCGUUGCAGCGUGGCCUUCUGGUGGCGUGGUGGCUGACGAGUCAGAGCGAGCACAAGCUGGAUGAAUUCCUUCAGUAUUGGCCACACUAGCUGAUUUGCUUCAGUAUUCCCUUUAGUCAUGUGCGGUUGUUCCAUAGUAUAGAUCUUGCAUACCGAGUUUGCAGUUGACUUAGCUCUGUACCAAAUUAGUUUUGGACCUUCAGUGAUCAUCCAUAGCUUAUUGGUUUAUCAUUUUAAGAUCUUUAAGACCCACGGUGUGCUACUUUUUCUUCAACAGGAGGGUGCUUGCUCCAAGAUAAAGGACCUUGUACUGAUGCCGGGACUAUUUGUGCUUCUAAGGUGAGGUAUGAUGCUUCUCAUAGAGUUUUUCUAAAAUUUGCUGGGAAACUUAAUUAGUAAGGAUUUCCUUUAAAUCCAGAAGGGAUGUUGUUCGGAGUCUAUUUGUACCUGCCUAGAAAGCUUUUGGUGAAGUGGAAAAUCUUUCAGUAA